CAUCGCCUCUUGAUAUACAAACAUGAGAGGUCCCGCCUGCCCUGUGACCACAAGUUUAACGGCCGCGGUAUUUUGACCGUGCAAAGGUAGCGUAAUCACUUGUCUUUUAAAUGAAGACCUGUAUGAAUGGCAUAACGAGGGCUAAGCUGUCUCCUCUCCCCAGUCAAUGAAAUUGAUCUUUCCGUGCAGAAGCGGGAAUGAAAACAUAAGACGAGAAGACCCUAUGGAGCUUAAGACACAAGGCAGCAAACGUUAAGACCACUGGACAAACAGCUGCAACCAAGUUAGCGCCUGCCCCUUUGUCUUUGGUUGGGGCGACCGCGGAGGAACAAAAAUCCCCCACGUGGAACAGGACCUGCUCCUCAAGACCAGAGCCUCAGCUCUAGUAAACAGAACAUCUGACCAUAAAGAUCCGGUAAUACCGAUCAACGGACCGAGUUACCCUAGGGAUAACAGCGCAAUCCCCUUUCAGAGCCCAUAUCGACAAGGGGGUUUACGACCUCGAUGUUGGAUCAGGACCCCCUAAUGGUGCAGCCGCUAUUAAGGGUUCGUUUGUUCAACGAUUAAAGUCCUACGUGAUCUGA
rnacentral:rRNA from 1 species